rnacentral:rRNA from 1 species
UACGAAGGGAGCUAGCGUUGUUCGGAAUCACUGGGCGUAAAGCGCACGUAGGCGGACGUGUCAGUCAGGGGUGAAAUCCCGGAGCUCAACUUCGGAACUGCCUUUGAUACAGCACGUCUUGAGUCCGGAAGAGGUGGGUGGAAUUCCUAGUGUAGAGGUGAAAUUCGUAGAUAUUAGGAAGAACACCGGUGGCGAAGGCGGCCCACUGGUCCGGUACUGACGCUGAGGUGCGAAAGCGUGGGGGAGCAAACAGG